GCUCCUAUGGCUCAGUUGGUAGAGCGCAUGACUAGCAAUCAUGAGGUCCGCGGUUCAAAUCCGCGUGGGAGCA
rnacentral:tRNA from 1 species